AGCAGCAGCCGCGGGAAUACGGAGGGGGCUAGCGUUGUUCGGAAUUACUGGGCGUAAAGCGCACGUAGGCGGCUUGGUAAGUUAGAGGUGAAAGCCCGGAGCUCAACUCCGGAAUUGCCUUUAAGACUGCCGAGCUAGUAGGUGAGAGAGGUAAGUGGAAUUCCGAGUGUAGAGGUGAAAUUCGUAGAUAUGCGGAAGAACACCAGUGGCGAAGGCGGCUUACUGGCUCAUUCUAGACGCUGAGGUGCGAAAGCGUGGGGAGCAAACAGGAUUAGAUACCCGUGUAGUCCCUGUCUCUUAGUC
rnacentral:rRNA from 1 species